AUGCCUUAAACUUAUGAGUAAGGAAAAUAACGAUUCGGGGUGACGCCCGGGUCCUCACUAACAAGACUUGUGGACUUCAGCUCCCAGAAUUCUGGGAGCUGAAGUCCACAAGUCUUGAAGUUGUCAAGGUUGCAGACCCCUAAUCUAUACAAAGCAGGGAUUGCAAUCUUCUUC